GUUUAACAUUUUUUGUUGUUUUUUUCCUCCUGCUUCUAGAGCGGUAGAAAGCAGUCUUUAGCCUGAGACCCAUCCCUAGUAAUUAAAGCCUCAUCAUCAGGCCCCAUAGAAGAUGCCAAUCAAAAUAAACUGCAUUCCUGAGACACAGGCCAGAAAUUAAAGCUAUUCAACUCCUCAACGCCAAGGGACUACUGUGGAACAGAUCCUGAAUUCCAGCUGAAGAGUUGACAUCAACCAGUUUGAAGCCUCCCUUCCCCCCGAAGAGGAACAAAAUCAGCAUGAGAAUACU